rnacentral:rRNA from 1 species
ACCGGAGCUUGCUCCACCGGAAAAAGAAGAGUGGCGAACGGGUGAGUAACACGUGGGUAACCUGCCCAUCAGAAGGGGAUAACACUUGGAAACAGGUGCUAAUACCGUAUAACAAUCGAAACCGCAUGGUUUUGAUUUGAAAGGCGCUUUCGGGUGUCGCUGAUGGAUGGACCCGCGGUGCAUUAGCUAGUUGGUGAGGUAACGGCUCACCAAGGCCACGAUGCAUAGCCGACCUGAGAGGGUGAUCGGCCACAUUGGGACUGAGACACGGCCCAAACUCAUACGGGAGGCAGCAGUAGGGAAUCUUCGGCAAUGGACGAAAGUCUGACCGAGCAACGCCGCGUGAGUGAAGAAGGUUUUCGGAUCGUAAAACUCUGUUGUUAGAGAAGAACAAGGAUGAGAGUAACUGUUCAUCCCUUGACGGUAUCUAACCAGAAAGCCACGGCUAACUACGUGCCAGCAGCCGCGGUAAUACGUAGGUGGCAAGCGUUGUCCGGAUUUAUUGGGCGUAAAGCGAGCGCAGGCGGUUUCUUAAGUCUGAUGUGAAAGCCCCCGGCUCAACCGGGGAGGGUCAUUGGAAACUGGGAGACUUGAGUGCAGAAGAGGAGAGUGGAAUUCCAUGUGUAGCGGUGAAAUGCGUAGAUAUAUGGAGGAACACCAGUGGCGAAGGCGGCUCUCUGGUCUGUAACUGACGCUGAGGCUCGAAAGCGUGGGGAGCAAACAGGAUUAGAUACCCUGGUAGUCCACGCCGUAAACGAUGAGUGCUAAGUGUUGGAGGGUUUCCGCCCUUCAGUGCUGCAGCUAACGCAUUAAGCACUCCGCCUGGGGAGUACGACCGCAAGGUUGAAACUCAAAGGAAUUGACGGGGGCCCGCACAAGCGGUGGAGCAUGUGGUUUAAUUCGAAGCAACGCGAAGAACCUUACCAGGUCUUGACAUCCUUUGACCACUCUAGAGAUAGAGCUUCCCCUUCGGGGGCAAAGUGACAGGUGGUGCAUGGUUGUCGUCAGCUCGUGUCGUGAGAUGUUGGGUUAAGUCCCGCAACGAGCGCAACCCUUAUUGUUAGUUGCCAUCAUUUAGUUGGGCACUCUAGCAAGACUGCCGGUGACAAACCGGAGGAAGGUGGGGAUGACGUCAAAUCAUCAUGCCCCUUAUGACCUGGGCUACACACGUGCUACAAUGGGAAGUACAACGAGUCGCGAAGUCGCGAGGCUAAGCUAAUCUCUUAAAGCUUCUCUCAGUUCGGAUUGUAGGCUGCAACUCGCCUACAUGAAGCCGGAAUCGCUAGUAAUCGCGGAUCAGCACGCCGCGGUGAAUACGUUCCCGGGCCUUGUACACACCGCCCGUCACACCACGAGAGUUUUAACACCCGAAGUCGGUGA